UCCUGCCUCUCAAACAGACGUAAUCUGUGGAUCAGAGAGCCGGGCGCUCAGUCGGUGAAGAGUUGGACUCGGACGGAUGUGAUGAGAGUGAAAAUACCCACUGUGACUUGAAGAAAUCGCAUCAGUCCACCUCGACAGGACAGUGAAUCCUGUUGUUUUACAAGAAGCGGGUGAAGGGAAAUUUGUGUAUCCGUUAGUGCCUCCUGAUGCUUGUGACUCUGUGACGAUGAAGAUCAUAUUUCUAUGAGAUGCUGUUACGGCCAAUUUUGUAGUGAAGAUGAAAGACUUUGAAGUUCCUCUGAUUAAUGAGGUGGUGGUAAGGCAAUAAAGCAGAACUUCUGAAAAAAUGAAUGGAAAAAAAAAAAAAAAAAACAGAACCAUGUUUGCCUUGUGGACAGUGGACUCAUUCUGCCACUGUCCUGUGUCAUUAUGUCCCUUUGCUGUGCGACCUGUCCUCUGGGGUUUAAGUGACUGUCCCUGUCCCCUGCCCUGUCUGUCCUUCCUCCUCUACGCCCUGCCUCGUCUUGUCAGCUCGGCUCACGGUCACAGCCCCGCUUGCCUCGGUGAACAUUCAACGCUGUCGGUGAGUUUUGGUAUGGAUCACAUAAAAACCAUCGACCGUUGACUGUGCCCCGAGGCUUGCUCCGACGACGUCGUGAAUAAGUGAAAAAAAAAAAAAAGAAAUGAACAAAAGAGCAAGUGGGCGCAUGCAAAAAUCGAGAGACGAAGACGAACAUGUACAAAAGUGACACUCUGUUUCCACUGUACCCAAAGACCAAAGGUCACAAUCAACAUUCAUUGCUGUCGCUGGGUUGAACUGUGUAGAAAAGCUCACUGAACAAUGAGUGCAACUGUGGCCCAGAUCUGCCUGACUCGCGUCUCAGCCAAUCGGCCGACCGGAUGCGAAACACUUUGAUUUCUUUAUUUGUAUUACUUCUUGUUUUUCACUUCUAUUUUCUCCUCUCUUCCUCCCUCCCUGGCACUGGCGCUGAAUAGUCUUCAGGGGAAGAGAGAGAGAGAGAGAUAGAGACAUAAAUAGACUUCUGGCGGCUUGCUUGUCCUCAUCCUCCUCUCCUCUAAUUGGUGGUUAUGUGUGCAGCAAGGGGGAAGGAAGCAGAGUGAAUGUGUAAUCAUUUGGAGUCUCUUCUCCUUUAGAUGUUUCAUCCCUCUCUCUUUUUUGUUUGUCUAAUUAUAUACUGAGCUCUGUUAACUCUGUGUUAACUGUGCUGGAAAGAAUGAGCGAGUGACAAAGAGAGAGAGGACAAUGGGAAACAAAAAAAGGUGGAAAGAUUAGAGCACCAGUAAACGUAUUAUCUAGUUUUCAGUAUAUGUAUUCUAAUAUUCUUCCUAGUGUUGCUGCAAAUGUGACAGGAUAUAAGCAUUUUUUUUUUUUAUGCAGAAAGGAGAUUUUCACCUCUUUGACUGAGGUGUGUGUGUGUGUGUGUGUGUGUGUUUUAUCUCGGCGUGAAAUAUGUUGGUUUCCUUCUAUCCCCAAGCAGCCUGCUUCGUCAUGGGAAAACAAGUCUCUAACCUUGUCUUCCUGCAGACAGUGUGGGACCGGCCACACUGCUGCCAUUUCUCUUUGUACCCAUCUGUAACAACUCUCUGACGCUGCGUCCUGUAUCUGUAAUUCAUGGAAUGUAAACACACAGUUGAGAUAUAUGUAGGAAUGUGUUUGGGAAAGGGUGAUAAUUCAUUAAUUAAUUCAAUAAAGUUGAAUCAGAAUCCA